AGAAAAAGGACACGGGGCGGGGGUAACUUGGUGAACGAGAAGGAAAAAGAGUUUAUGCAGACUUGAAAUGUGCUGAGUAUGUGGACUGUAUCUUAGAUUGUCAACUGGAGGAUCUGGGACAUUAUUAGAGACAGUGAGUGACCAGUUAGAUGGUACAACAGAGCCGGCUCCCCUGGACCUUCCAGCUCCCCCGGACCUUCCCGCUCACCCUAUGCUUGUACCUGUUCCUGAGGAUUUGUGACUACUUGGCCAUCAGAGGGCUACUGAGACUCUUUUGCCAUUUCUUUGGACACACGGAGGAGGUAGACUUCAGUCUCUGACUGCGAACUAUUAAGUAAGUCAAACCAAAUCAGGUGCACCACCCUCACCUGUCUCGUGGGUGGAGGUCUUCCUGACUAGUUGGCCAGC